rnacentral:misc_RNA from 1 species
UUAAGUUCAGCGGGUAGUCCUACCUGAUCCGAGGUCAACCUUGAGAAGUUGGGCGUUUUACGGCGUGGCCGCACCGCUGUCCCUCUGCGAGUUCAGUACUGCACAGGGGAGGUCACGGUGAGACCGCCACUACAUUUCGGGGACGGCGUGCCGCGGGGGCAGCCGAUCCCCAACACCAGCGCCCUCCGACCAGUGCCGGA